CAUUAAUGUAUUUUGUAUUUAAUAUCUUAGUUUAAUAACUAAAAUGGUUUGGCAGUGAGUGAUUCUUUUUAGGGGAAGGUGUGGUGUAAAGGAUGUUCCGCCUAUUAUUUUACUUUUAUUAUGUUGGUGUAUAUCUGAUUUAAUAUUAUUGCUUAAUGGUUAAAGUUUGUGUAUAUUUAUUUAAGUCAAGUCUAUGUGCUGCUUAUAAAAGUAUUCAUGCGUUACUUUAAUAAUAUGUUAGAUGAAAUAUUAAUUGAUUUAGGACUUAAUAGUAAUGUUUAAUUAGUUUGUAAAUGUGAAUAUAGUUUAGCUCAUGUACACACCGCCCGUCACCCUCGAUUAUUAUUGAG
rnacentral:rRNA from 1 species